GCCUCCGCAGACGGGGCGGGGCCUGCCGAGAGGCCGCGAGAGCCGCCAGUCACGCGCUCCCCGUCCUCUCAUUGGCUACGUCCCUGUCGUUCGCCCAACCUUCUUCUUUCCUCGCCAGUCGCGAGAGGAGGGCGGGAUGUCGCCAUUUUGGCUUCCCGUUCCCCGCCUGUCCUCUGCCACCGUGGUUUGGGCGGCGGCGCGCUGGCCCGGAGUUGAGUUGCGCGAGAGAAGUGGGACCCUGACUGUGAAGAAGAAGAUUAAUUCGUCCACUAUAUAAUCCUGCAGGCAAGAGAAGGAAGAACCAGUGCAGAUUACAGAGCUCACUUAGAAUCACAGUGAAGCAUCUGGACUCAAAAUAUAUCAAAGACCAUUUCCUGCCAUAACUAAAAUGCCAGAAAAACCAGGCAGCCAUAAACCCUGUCGGGAGAGAAUGGACUGUUACAACUAUGACUUUCCAGUUAUUUUUCCAGCAAUUUCUACAGGGAACAGGGACCAAAGGAUCUGUAAUUGGUCCAGUAGAAGACUUCAGAAGGAAAGCAAAGGACUUUAGGGAUCUGGUAUGGCAUGGGAGACUCACUGAAAUAACCCUUGGGAUUAUCUUUGUGCUUCUUAACCAAUGUACUACAUGCCAACUUGACAGCUGCAGAAGUCAAAAGGUGAUCUGCCUGCAUCAUGUCUGAGAUGAGCACCACCACAAUUACUUUAUCCCCCAAGAAACUGCAGAGGAUAGAACAGAAAUAACACAAAUUGAAGUUGUAGCAAUUUGCAAGUUUGAAUAUGAUGUACUAUUUGGUGUAGCAAUUGGUUCUUCUGCAAAAAUAAGAAGCAGUGUCAAACAAGUCCAGAAGAGAUUUAACGCAUUUGUGACAUCUAUUGAAAAUCAGAUCUUAAGGAUUCUGCCAGUUUAUUAAUUGGUAUGUGUUCCAUCCUAUUACCAGUUGGCUCAGCAAUCAAUCAUGAGUUAGCUAAUUUGUAUAUGGAAUAGUAAAUAAAAGUUUCACCUAAGAAGUAGUUAAUUGAGCAUACAUGGAUGGUUUCCAUUUAUAUCCAAGCAACUACAUGUAACACUAUCUGACAUAAACAAUUCAUGAAUAGUACAGUUUUACUUCAUCCUGUUGCCAAUGAAAUUUCUGCUUUCUUGAAGGCUUCAGAAAAUGUCAAAAACAAAUUGGAGGGCUGGGGUUGUGGCUCAGAAGUAGAGUGCUCGCCUACCAUGCGUGAGGCACUGGGUUCAAUCCUUAGGACCACAUAAAAAUAAAAUAAAGACAUUGUGUCAACCUAUAAUUAAAAAUAAAUAUUUUUUAAAAAAUGGA